rnacentral:rRNA from 1 species
GACGGAGGGUGCUAGCGUUGUUCGGAAUUACUGGGCGUAAAGCGCGUGUAGGUGGAUUGGUGUGUCAGAUGUGAAAUCCCUGGGCUCAACCCAGGAACUGCACCUGAAACUACCAGUCUUGAGUGGUGGAGAGGGAAGUGGAAUUCCUGGUGUAGAGGUGAAAUUCGUAGAUAUCAGGAGGAACACCAGUGGCGAAGGCGGCUUCCUGGACACCAACUGACGCUGAGACGCGAAAGCGUGGGGAGCAAACAGG